AACGAACGCUGGCGGCAUGCCUAACACAUGCAAGUCGAACGAAGGCUUCGGCCUUAGUGGCGCACGGGUUCGUAACGCGUGGGAAUCUGCCCUUUGGUUCGGAAUAACAGCUGGAAACGGCUGCUAAUACCGGAUGAUGACUAAAGUCCAAAGAUUUAUCGCCAGAGGAUGAGCCCGCGUUGGAUUAGGUAGUUGUUGGGGUAAAGGCCUACCAAGCCGACGAUCCAUAGCUGGUCUGAGAGGAUGAUCAGCCACACUGGGACUGAGACACGGCCCAGACUCCUACGGGAGGCGGCAGUGGGGAAUAUUGGAAAAUGGGCGCAAGCCUGAUCCAGCAAUGCCGCGUAAGUGAUGAAGGCCCUAGGGUUGUAAAGCUCUUUUACCCGGGAAGAUAAUGACUGUACCGGGAGAAUAAGCCCCGGCUAACUCCGUG
rnacentral:rRNA from 1 species